rnacentral:rRNA from 1 species
AGUCGAGCGGACUUGAAGAGAAGCUUGCUUCUCUGAUGGUUAGCGGCGGACGGGUGAGUAACACGUAGGCAACCUGCCCUCAAGUUUGGGACAACUACCGGAAACGGUAGCUAAUACCGAAUAGUUGUUUUCUUCGCCUGAAGGAAACUGGAAAGACGGAGCAAUCUGUCACUUGGGGAUGGGCCUGCGGCGCAUUAGCUAGUUGGUGGAGUAACGGCUCACCAAGGCGACGAUGCGUAGCCGACCUGAGAGGGUGAUCGGCCACACUGGGACUGAGACACGGCCCAGACUCCUACGGGAGGCAGCAGU